UACGGAGGGGGCUAGCGUUGUUCGGAAUUACUGGGCGUAAAGCGCGCGUAGGCGGACCUGCAAGUCGGGGGUGAAAGCCCGAGGCUCAACCUCGGAACUGCCUUCGAUACUGCGGGUCUCGAGUCCGGGAGAGGUGAGUGGAAUUCCUAGUGUAGAGGUGAAAUUCGUAGAUAUCAGGAGGAACACCUAUUGCGAAGGCAGCUCGCUGGGACGUAACUGACGCUGAGACGCGAAAGCGUGGGGAGCAAACAGG
rnacentral:rRNA from 1 species